AGCCUUAAGAAUGGAUUUUAGGUUAUACCUGCCCAAUGUAUAAAAUGAAUGGCCGCGGUACUCUGACCGUGCUAAGGUAGCGCAAUCAAUUGGCUCUUAAUUGGGGUCAGGAAUGAAUGGAGUUACGGGGUUCAGCUGUCUCCUAAUUAAUUAAUUGAAGUUACUAUGUAGGUGAAAAAGUCUAUGUAUAGAAAAAGGACGAGAAGACCCUUAGAGUUUUACCUAAUGUAAUAUUAAGAAUCUAUUUAUUACACUGGUUUUGUUGGGGCAACACAGGAGCAAAUUAAAUUAGUUAAUCUCCUGAAUUUAAUGAACCGAUAGUUUUAAAUAUAAAUAAACUACCUUAGGGAUAACAGCAUAAUUUUAUAAAUAAGUUUGUGACCUCGAUGUUGGACUAGGAAACCUAAAGGCUAGUCGUCUUUAGGGAAAGUUCUGUUCGAACUAUUAUUCCU
rnacentral:rRNA from 1 species